UACAGAGGGGGCAAGCGUUGUUCGGAAUUAUUGGGCGUAAAGGGUGCGUAGGCGGUGCGGUAAGUCUUCUGUGAAAUCUCCGGGCUCAACUCGGAGCCUGCAGGAGAAACUGCCGUGCUUGAGUAUGGGAGAGGUGAGUGGAAUUCCUGGUGUAGCGGUGAAAUGCGUAGAUAUCAGGAGGAACACCUGUGGCGAAAGCGGCUCACUGGACCAUAACUGACGCUGAGGCACGAAAGCUAGGGGAGCAAACAG
rnacentral:rRNA from 1 species